rnacentral:rRNA from 1 species
UACGGGGGGGUAAGCGUUGUUCGGAAUUACUGGGCGUAAAGGGCUUGUAGGUGGCCAACUAAGUCACACGUGAAAUCCCCAGGCUUAACCUGGGAACUGCGUGUGAUACUGGAUGGCUUGAAUCCGGGAGAGGGAUGCGGAAUUCCAGGUGUAGCGGUGAAAUGCGUAGAUAUCUGGAGGAACACCGGUGGCGAAGGCGGCAUCCUGGACCGGUAUUGACACUGAAAAGCGAAAGCCAGGGGAGCAAACGGG